rnacentral:lncRNA from 1 species
UUUUGGUGUGGAAUAGGAUUAGAUGAGGCCCUUAGUGUGGAGGCCACUUAAGAGCCUUAUUUCCUUCUCGGUUCUCUAACACAUGAGACUCCAUCAGGACAUGAGCAGUUUGCAACCUGGAAGAAGGAUCUCACCAGAGUGUGGACAUGCUGGCAUCCUGAUCUUAGACUGACAGUCUCCAGAACCAUAGGAAACAAAUUUAAGUUGUUUACAGACCACCGUAUUGAUGAUAUUUUAUUAUAGCAGCCUGUGUGGACUAAGACAGGAAUCCAAGAAGCUCAUUUGUAUACUGAUGCCUGGAAAGCAGUGAUUUAGUGGAUCCUGGAACAAGUUUGCAAAUGUGGAGAUCUACAUUGACCAACACUGCCUGUGACAAGAGGCUUGUGUGUAGCACGCGGGGCCCAGACAUGAUCUCUGCAGACUUUCCCCCAGUUUAUCCCUUUCUGCCUGCAAGCGAAGCUACAUUCAUCCCAAGGCCUGAAGAAGCAGGAUUUCUGUCCUGA